UUUGGAAGGAUUACAAAACGAAACCAUCGAAUACAGUUCUAUUUUGAUUUGCUCAUUUAUCGGUCAAGAUGAAGUUAUUUGCUGUCCGAAUAAUGACAUACCCACGCUAGGAUAUAUUCCAACAGAUGCUCCCGAAACCGGAAUACGAGGUGGGCCACUCCCGCCUAGCCAAAACAGCUCUGAGGAUAAUAGACCAGAAGUCACAGGUUCUAGCAAAAACAUCGCAUGCCUUAGUAUUUCUAAUAUUUGGCGCAAGACGAAGGAACGUUAUAGUGCUAUUAAAAACUGGGUUGUAUCUACAUGGAGAAUUUAAAAAAAAACUUACCAAAUUAAAAGUAAUCGAGUCAGGAAUAGGAUAGAAAAGCUCUGCAAUGGUGUCAAAAGACCAAUAUCAUCAGAAAUAUUAAAAUUUUUUGAUUUCAUCAGACGAAGUUAUUUUUUCAAAACUCUUUGAUCAUACUGUCUUAAGAAGAUUAAGAGCUGUAAUACAUAAUAUAAAAUAUUUAACCCAUAUCGAUUGUGUUAUUUUAUUAUUCUUUAUUUUUCAACACAAAAUUCGACAUUAUCUAAAAAAAAAAAACUUUUGUAUGUAUUGCAUUAAUCAAUAAAACAA